AGGGUUCGAUUCUGGCUCAGGAUGAACGCUAGCGGCAGGCUAACACAUGCAAGUCGAGGGGCAGCGGGAUGUAGCAAUACAUUGCCGGCGACCGGCGGAUGGGUGCGUAACGCGUAUGCAACCUACCUUAUACAGGGGAAUAACCUUUCGAAAGGGAGACUAACACCCCAUAGUAUUGAUUUAAGGCAUCUUAGAUUAAUUAAAUAUUUAUAGGUAUAAGAUGGGCAUGCGUAUGAUUAGCUAGUUGGUAGGGUAACGGCUUACCAAGGCGACGAUCAUUAGGGGUUCUGAGAGGAAGGUCCCCCCACACUGGUACUGAGACACGGACCAGACUCCUACGGGAGGCAGCAGUGAGGAAUAUUGGUCAAUGGGCGCAAGCCUGAACCAGCCAUGCCGCGUGCAGGAAGAACCGGCCUUAUGGGUUGUAAACUGCUUUUACAUAAGACUAACCGUAUAUUUGCGAAUAUACCUGAAUGUAUUAUGAGAAUAAGGAUCGGCUAACUCCGUGCCAGCAGCUGC
rnacentral:rRNA from 1 species